GAAUGUGGUCCUAUGGAGCCCCACCCAUAGAUUCCUACAUUUCUUUGGAUAUAAUUUUUUUUUAAAUCACUGCUAUAGUUUUUUAAACAUGGAAUGGAUAAUCCUCACAAACGACACAUAGCUAGUAUUUUAUAUUCGCUUGAUUUUGACUAAAAUUAGGUUUUUGUAAAUCGGAUGACGUCAUGCGUGAUAAAUUGCUUUACGGCACCUUGUGUCUCUCCUUCCCUUUCCUUUCCCUCGCAGCAACAGCUGCAUACGAUCGCAGCUGAUUUGGCUCCGUGGGACUGAUUUGAACUCGGCUCUACAUGUUUUGAAAAGGUUGCGGUGGAAUUGUCAGUUUAUCUGAGGAAGGUUCCUAACGGAGUGGAAUGACCCGGAAGUACCUCAGUGGCAGCCAUGGAAACACUGGACCUUCCUUUACGAAAGGAAAGGAGAAGUUGCUGUCUAUCAAUGCCUUGCAGACGCAACUUUUACCAUUAUACAACAUUCGGCCGUUCACAGAAACAACCAAUCGUGAUGAAAGACGCGUAUCAUGAAAGUCACGGGGCUUAUUAAGCAGUUUAAAAUUAUACCGUAACUUACUUUAGUGCUUUGCUUUGAACGUUCAGCUCUAUAUUAAUCAAAAGGAGAAAUAUGAACGUUAC